rnacentral:rRNA from 1 species
CCCUUAGAUGUUCUGGGCUGCACACGCGCUACACUGACACACUCAGCGAGUUCCUGUACCGAGAGGUUCGGGUAAUCAUGUGAGCGUGUGUCGUGAUGGGGAUAGAAUAUUGUAAUUAUUGCUCUUCAACGAGGAAUUCCUAGUAAGCGCAAGUCAGCAGCUUGCGCUGAUUACGUCCCUGCCCUUUGUACACACCGCCCGUCGCUCCUACCGAUUGGGUGAUCCGGUGAAUGACUCGGACUUUGACGUUCCUAGACACUAGGUUCGUCGAGGGAAGUUUUGUGAACCUUAUCACUUGGAGGAAGGAGAAGUCGUAACA